AUGUGCUACAAGGUGGAGUGCGACAAAUGCGGCAAGAUCACCUGGAAGGGGUGCGGCAAGCAUGUCGCGUCCGUCUACGAAGACAUCGAGAAAGGAAAGCACUGCACCUGCAAGGCGUGGCCGGGUGUUGACACAGAUGGGUCGUCCUCGAACACCAAAGAAGGUGACGUGCUUUUGCUUUAA
rnacentral:rRNA from 1 species